ACUCUAAUAGUUUAUAAAAACAUU
rnacentral:tRNA from 8 species